rnacentral:rRNA from 1 species
UACGUAGGUGGCAAGCGUUGUCCGGAUUUACUGGGCGUAAAGAGCGCGCAGGCGGUCGUUCAAGUCGCGUGUGAAAGCCCCCGGCUCAACUGGGGAGGGUCACGCGAUACUGAUCGACUCGAAGGCAGGAGAGGGUAGUGGAAUUCCCGGUGUAGUGGUGAAAUGCGUAGAUAUCGGGAGGAACACCAGUGGCGAAGGCGACUCACUGGCCCGGUACUGACGCUGAGGCGCGAAAGCGUGGGGAGCAAACAGG